rnacentral:misc_RNA from 1 species
UCGCUGUAAUUAUUUCUCUUGACCCUUCUACGUCUUCUUCCUCUCUCUAUUGUUUACCUUGACUUGAGUGCCAAAGUUGUACGUGGACCGAUCAAAAUGGUUUAUCUCCUCCAAACGUUUCUCCAAAUCAAAAGCCGUAAAAUGGAGGUCAAAUUGAGGCCAAAGUAAUAUCAAAUAUGCAUGUCACUGUUGCCAACUCCACUUCCACCUGUCAACAUGG